GAUGAAGAACGUAGCGAAAUGCGAUAAGUAAUGCGAAUUGCAGAAUUUCCGUGAGUCAUCGAAUCUUUGAACGCACAUUGCGCCCUUUGGUAUUCCAGGGAGCAUGCCUGUUCGAGCGUCAUUUAGCAACCAUCGAGCGAGUUUUGCCUCGCUUGGGUCUGGGGGAUGGUUGAACCUCGGUGCACCCACCCCCGAAAUACAACGGCGGACAACCCACCCGUGGAACUGCAGCGUAGUAAGUCAUUCUUUCGCGAGUGGCCACGGAGGGACUGUCCGGCCGGUGAAACCCCCCGAAUCCAAUGGUUGACCUCGGAUCAGGUAGGGAUACCCGCUGAACUUAAGCAUAUCAAUAAGCGGAGGA
rnacentral:misc_RNA from 1 species